rnacentral:rRNA from 1 species
GUCCGGCUGGGGAGCGGAACGGCAUGGGAGGGCCGGCCGCAGCGGGUGACAGCCCCGUACGCGAACCCAGACCGGACGGCGCGACGCGGUCCCUGAGUAGGGCCGGGCACGUGAAACCCGGUCCGAACCUGGGUGGACCACCAUCCAAGCCUGAGUACUACCCUGUGACCGAUAGCGCACCAGUACCGUGAGGGAAAGGUGAAAAGCACCCCGGGAGGGGAGUGAAACAGUACCUGAAACCGUGCGCCCACGAGCAGUCGGAGCACCCUUUUAGGGUGUGACGGCGUGCCUUUUGUAGAAUGAGCCAGCGAGUCGCUGGCGCGGGGCGAGGUUAACCGAAAGGGAGCCGGAGCGAAAGCGAGCCUUAACAGGGCGACUUGAGUCCCGCGCCGCGGACGCGAAGCCGGGUGAGCUAUCCGUGGGCAGGCUGAAGCGGGGGUAAGACCCCGUGGAGGGCCGAACGCACGUCGGUUGAAAACGGCGGCGAUGACCUGCGGAUAGGGGUGAAAGGCCAAUCAAACCCGGAGAUAUCUCGUUCUCCCCGAAAUAGCUUUAGGGCUAGCGUCGCGCGUUCACCGCCGGAGGUAGAGCACCGGAUGGACGAGGGGGCUUCGCCGCCUACCGAAUCCAACCGAACUCCGAAUGCCGGCGGCCCAGAGCGCGGCAGUCAGAGCAUGUGGGCUAAGCUGUGUGCUCGAGAGGGAAACAGCCCGGACCGCCCGCUAAGGUCCCCAAGUUCCAGCCGAGUGGCAAAGGAUGUGCGUCCGCCCAGACAACCAGGAUGUUGGCUUAGAAGCAGCCAUGCAUUCAAAGAGUGCGUAACAGCUCACUGGUCGAGUGGACAUGCGCCGACAAUACACGGGGCUAAGCUGGACACCGAAGCGGCGGGAUUUUAAUUCAUUAGAAUCGGUAGGGGAGCUUCCCAUGGGCGGAGAAGCCGUCAGGGCGACCGACGGUGGAGCGCAUGGGAGUGAGAAUGCUGGCAUGAGUAGCGAGAGACGAGAGAGUAACUCGUCCGCCGUGAACCCGAGGUUUCCUGGGCAAGGCUAAUCCUCCCAGGGUCAGUCGGGGGCUAAGGCGAGGCCGGGAGGCGUAGCCGACGCGCAGCAGGCAGACAUUCCUGCACCGCGCACGCGGCGCUACGACCGACGGGGCGACGGAUGGGGGUGGCUCGGCGGGGUUCUGGACGUCCCCGUGAUGGAGCGCGGCCCGCGGACCAGGGAAAUCCGGUCCGCAGAAGGGCGAGGCUCCGGACGAAGCGAUCAAGCGAAGCGAGUGAGCCCGAGGUCCCUAGAAAAACCCCUAGGCAGGCGCGUGCGCGCCCGUACCGCAAACCGACACAGGUGGGUGGGUAGAACAUACCGAGGCGAUCGGGUCAACCAUGGUCAAGGAACUCGGCACAAUGGCCCCGUAACUUCGGGAGAAGGGGUGCCCGCGCGUACGUGAACGGACUUGCUCCGGGAGCGGAGGCGGGCCGCAGUGGAGAGGCCCAAGCGACUGUUUACCAAAAACACAGGACUCUGCAGAAGCCGCAAGGCGACGUAUAGGGUCUGACGCCUGCCCGGUGCCGGAAGGUCACGCGGAGGGGUUAGCCGUCAAGGCGAGGCCCCGAAGCCAAGCCCCGGUAAACGGCGGCCGUAACUAUAACGGUCCUAAGGUAGCGAAAUUCCUUGUCGGGUAAGUUCCGACCUGCACGAAAGGCGCAACGACUUGGGCGCUGUCUCGACCAUGGACCCGGUGAAAUUGCACUGGUCGUGAAGAUGCGACUUACCCGCGGAAGGACGGAAAGACCCCGUGAACCUUCACUGCAGCUUGGCAUUGGCCGCUGGUCCCGCGUGUAGAGGAUAGGCAGGAGGCAUCGAUCCGGAGGCGCCAGCCCCCGGGGAGCCGCCCUUGGAAUACUGCCCUCGCGCGACCGGCGUCCUAACCCGAGGCCGUCAACCGGCUCGGGGACCGUGCCAGGCGGGCAGUUUGACUGGGGCGGUCGCCUCCUAAAGGGUAACGGAGGCGCGCGAAGGUCCGCUCGGGACGGUCGGCAACCGUCCUUUUGAAUGCAAGAGUACAAGCGGGCUUGACUGCGAGGCCCACAAGCCGAGCAGGUGCGAAAGCAGGCUCUAGUGAUCCGGCGGCCCCGAGUGGGUGGGCCGUCGCUCAACGGAUAAAAGGUACUCCGGGGAUAACAG